CUUAAUGUAACGUGGUAAAUGCUGUGGGCGGCGCGGAACAAAUUUAAUUCCUGUGCGAUGUGAGAAAAAAAACACGAACCAUUUGUACGCGGGCAGCAGCCAAAAUCAAACCAUCUGUAGAAUUGACUCGAAACUUUCAUGCGAUGAAUGUUUCAGUGCUUCUGUUGACUAAAAAUGUUAAACCAAACAUACUUUAUAAAAAUGAAUAUUUCUGCUGAAUAUUCGUAUAGUUUUAAUCAGAGUACGUAAUUAGUUGGAAAUAUGAUUAAUACAAAAUUUGUCAAAGAUUACAAAGUUUUAAUCUUGUAAUUAAUGAUCAUGCUAUAUUAACUGUCAACAAUAUUGUCAUACAAUGCUGCGAUAUUAUAAGACUUAAUUAAUCUAUUUCAUUAAAAAUAAAUAAAUUAAUAAAUAAACUGCGUUCAAAAAAAGGUUGCUUACAUGUGAAAAUAUGUAUGUAAUUAGGUAAGAAAAAAUUUCAAAAUAAGUUCGUCAAUAAAUAUUAAAAAUAUGUUUGUACAUAACAAGCCUAAUUGUCUUUAU
rnacentral:lncRNA from 1 species